rnacentral:rRNA from 1 species
UACGUAGGGUGCAAGCGUUGUCCGGAAUUAUUGGGCGUAAAGGGCUCGUAGGCGGUCCAUCACGUCGGGAGUGAAAAGCUGGGGCUUAACCCCAGUCCUGCUUCCGAUACGGGUGGACUAGAGGUAGGCAGGGGAGAACGGAAUUCCUGGUGUAGCGGUGAAAUGCGCAGAUAUCAGGAGGAACACCGGUGGCGAAGGCGGUUCUCUGGGCCGAUACUGACGCUGGGGAGCGAAAGCGUGGGGAGCGAACAGG